rnacentral:piRNA from 1 species
UAGCCAGGUCAGCCUUGGUGAGUGGAA